CGGACGGGUGAGUAACGCGUGGGCAACCUGCCUUACACAGGGGGAUAACACUUAGAAAUAGGUGCUAAUACCGCAUGAGCGCACAGGACCGCAUGGUCGAGUGUGAAAAACUGAGGUGGUGUAAGAUGGACCCGCGUCUGAUUAGCUAGUUGGUGAGGUAACGGCCCACCAAGGCGACGAUCAGUAGCCGGCCUGAGAGGGUGGACGGCCACAUUGGGACUGAGACACGGCCCAAACUCCUACGGAAGGCAGCAG
rnacentral:rRNA from 1 species